GAUGGAUCCAAAUCUUAAGGCACUUUUUACACAGCCAGAGAAAGUUUGUGAGAUGUACUUAAAAGAGUUUAUGCAGAUUAUGGACUUCCAGGAAAAACACAGACGACAUUUGUGUGCAAAAGAAACAGAAGAGAAAGCAAAAUUGAAAGCCUAUGUCGAACACAUCACACAGAGGAAAGAACAAUUACAACG